CAUGUUUUCAAGUACGUCGUAAGAUUAUUGAAUACUUUGACAGCAUCAUAUGCACAUGGAAUCCAGACCCCAAUUUCAGAAUCAACAUAUAAGACCAUCAUCUGUGUGCAUAGAAAAUAUCUGGAGGUUCAAAUCUAGAAGCUGAUGAGAAUGAUUAUGCGUCUUUGGAUAAUUGGGUGAUGUGACACAUAAAAUGUGGUAGUUAUUGUUUGAGAAAAAGCAAGAUUACUAGGCGAGAUGAAUGUCGAUUCAAAUUCCCAAUGGAGCUUUUAGAUGAUUCUAAGCUUGUUGAAGAACAAGCUGAUAACAACAUGUACAGAUUUGUUGGCCGGAGAAAUGAUAAAUUGUUGAAUUCUCACAAUCGAGCGGUUCUACAAACAUGGAGAGCAAACAUCGACUGGUAUGUUGUAACAACCACGGAAUCCGUUACCAGUUAUAUCGCCAAGUAUGCAGCAAAUUAGUCCGAACCAGCAUCAAAGGAUUUCAUCGACACUCUGCGAGGAAUUAUUAAUGAUCCACUAUGACCUUGUCGUGACUCAAUAUAUGCGAUAAGAAGACUGCUCAUCAAGAUUGUAUCGGAAAUAGAUAUAUCUUCCCAAGAGGUGUGCCACUUGUUGAUGGGUUGGAAUAUGACAGACUCGUCAAGAAAGUUCGUUUUGCUAAAUUUGAGUGAAAGUAGGUUGUUUUCCUGUCAACUAUGGAAGAAUCUAAGUAAUGAUGAUGGAGAUCACUGGUAUGUUGUAACAACCACGGAAUCCGUUACCAGUUAUAUCGCCAAGUAUGCAGCAAAUUAGUCCGAACCAGCAUCAAAGGAUUUCAUCGACACUCUGCGAGGAAUUAUUAAUGAUCCACUAUGACCUUGUCGUGACUCAAUAUAUGCGAUAAGAAGACUGCUCAUCAAGAUUGUAUCGGAAAUAGAUAUAUCUUCCCAAGAGGUGUGCCACUUGUUGAUGGGUUGGAAUAUGACAGACUCGUCAAGAAAGUUCGUUUUGCUAAAUUUGAGUGAAAGUAGGUUGUUUUCCUGUCAACUAUGGAAGAAUCUAAGUAAUGAUGAUGGAGAUCACGGGAUAACUAACCAGAAUUUCUUUUCCAGAUAUUUGACUAGACCGGAUGACUAUGAGCAGAUGUCGUUGAUUGAUAUGUGAAAGACACGCUAUUAUGCUCGUCGAAAGUAGUGCAAGCACCAUGUUGAUCUUGUUGUUAGGAUUUCACCUGAGUUCAGUGGGAAAAAUAUCAUCAGAUACUGAUCAUUGGGAAUCCUAUUGCAGACAACAAGUAUUGUUGAAUAGCCAUUACAUGAGUUUUGAAGAAGCGAAAUGAAAUUUUGCUAUGUGGUCAGAAUGUUAUGCUGAACUCAUCCGUCCCACUGAAAAUUUGUCAGUAAAUCUUAGCAUGGUUGAGGAUGAAUUAGAGGAUGAAACACAUCCAAAAGAUGAGGAUUUAGAGGAAUUGAUGGUUUCAGCAGCGAUGGCACCCAAUUCUAGGGUAUUAGAGGAUACUGAUUUAGGUUUGCGGGACAUCGAUGUCAACCAUAACUGGUCACAGGGUUACUGGACUACCUUUCCAUUCACGAGAAGAAAGGAUUUAUCCACACGUUAAGACAAAUUGUGCAAGAGACACAUUCAGUUUCUGGUUCAGGUACUUCUCCCAUUACUCUGUCAAGACAGUAAUAAGUCGCACUUGAUAUGGUUCUGAAUUUUUGAGAUCGGAAUCAACUAUUCGAUUGAUUAUCAGUGGAGGGGCAGGCACGGGAAAGUCAACUCUUAUAAGUGUCAUUUUUCACUCAAUGAGGGAAUUUUUUAACAACGAAAAGUCUGUUCGAAUCAUGGCUCCCACCGGUGUAGACGCAUCCAACACUGGAGGUUCAACUAUUCACCACGAACUCGCCAUCACAGCGGAUAGGAACCUUUCAUACAAGAAGCUGGAGGCAGAACGAUGCAGACGUAUGCAGGUUGAUUUCAAAGACACUAAGCUGAUAAUUAUUAACGAAUACAACAUGAUCGGCAGAAAAAUGCUUACAAAUAUCAAUCUUCGAUUAAGAGACAUUUUUCUAACAAGCGAACCUUUUGGGAAUGUCUCUAUUGUACUCGUCGGUGAUAUGAGACAACUUUCACAUGUUUUUGAUAUGCCAUUAUAUGUUGAAGGCGGGGGAGAGUUACAACUGACAUGUAAUCUCUCUUACUCUGUGUUUAAACAGUGUGUUUGCCUUAAAAAAAAUCUGACAGUCUGGAGUUGAGAAGUCAGAAUAUAGAAAAGUGUUGUCUAGAUUAAGUGAUGGCAACUCCACUGAAGAUUGGAAUAUGUUUGUCAUUAGGAGCUACGCGACCCUUUCAGUCGAAGAAAGACAACUUUAAGCAUGUUGUUCGUAUGUUUCCCACUAAAGAUUAUGCUGCCAAUCAUAAUUGUCAACGCCUCAGACGUCUUGGGCUUCCUGUUGCGCGUAUCCCAUCAAAGAAUAACUAUGCAACAGCUAAGGAAGCAAAUUCUGAUGAGGCGAAAAGGUUACAAGAUGUUUUUUGUUGUCAAAGAAAUCAAGGGUUAUGUUGCGUAAGAGUUAUUCACUCAGAUUGGUUUGGUGAAUGGUUCAACAGGAACUGUUAAGGACAUUAUAUAUGAAAAAGAAGAGAAAUCACCCACAGGUAUGCCUAUUGAUGUUAUUGUCGAAUUCGAUAAGUACAUUGGUCCAAGGGUGUACGUAGAAUCAACUCUGAUUCCUAUCAUUUCAGUCACAAUAAGAUUGACAUCGUCUUUUGGGGUGGCAUGCGAGCCUACUCAGUUACCACUUAUCUUUUGUUGGGCAAUAACGGUUCACAAGAGCUAGGGGUUGACUCUUGAUCAGGCCGUGGUGAAUAUAGGAAUCACAGAGAGACUCAGUAUGACGUUUGUAGCAUUGUAACGUAUUAAACGACUUAGAUACCUUGCGUUAUGUCCUAUGUUUGAUUUCGAAAUAAUAAAGAGAAUAGGCGAUUGUUACGGGAUUAAAAAAAAGACGUGUAGAAGAAGAGAGGUUGCAACAAUUAGCAAGUGAGGCGCAAGAAUCUCUAAGGUGAAUGUCAUUUUGAUGUCACUGGAAUAUUAGAGCUCCAGGAUAAGAAAAGCAUAUUGGUUGCAUCUAUUUUCACGGAUCACAAAUUUUCUUUUACAGUCUCAUUGCAGCGGUGUUUCAUUUUUCUUCGGUCGGCCCUCCCCACUGUGGCAGCGUGUUCUAGUCUAGAUGGUUUCAAGAUCGUGGAAAGGAACUCGGGCGGAUUAAACUUCAAGAUCAUCUUCUCAGCAACCAUUGGAGCAUGGUUAGGUUCGAAUACAAAAGAAAUUCUUCAAUUAAACAGCAACAGCAACAAGAGAAAAUGGACCAGAAGAAACGACAACUUCUCUUUUCUAGUUGAAAAAUAACAAACUCUAGGGGAGAAUAUCUCAAAAUUGUAAGAACAUAUGAGAGUAGAGCUAAGAAUAAGGCUCUUUUUAUACCAAAAGGCAAAGAUAGUUAUCAUUGGCAAAGAUUUAAUGAGCUUUUAAACAAAUUAAUUGGAAAUAGAACCAAUACCCAUCAUUAGCAAGCACCAGUGACGACUGAUUUCCCUGGUACCAUCAGCAACAAUAAUAUCUCAAGACCAAAUAGCGCUUUUUGUUGCAUAGCUUUUGGUUCUAUCUCUUGGAAUCAAUAAACUCUUUGUCAUUUUUCAACCCAAUAAUGAUCAAGAAUGGGAAAGUUAUUGGAACCUCUUAAAUGGAAGUUCAAAGAUACAACAAUGGAAGUUAAGAGAUAGAUAGAUGAAGAUGGUACAAUUAAUACUAGAGCUCUUACACUGGCGUAAAAUUGGAUCAAAAUAAAAGGGUUGUCGGUUCAAUUAUGGUCCAAAGCAAAUUUCGAUCAUAUUAGUGAUUUUAUGGAGGGUUUAGCUGAAAUAGAUAAAGAAGCAGUGGAAAGAAACCCUUUUUCUUGUAUAUUAAAGGUAAAAUGCUUGGCGCAAGAUAUCCCGGCAGCAAUUCAGAUCAACCUUCAGGGUAUGGAUUUGGUUUUAGUAAUAAAAUGGGAUUAUGCUUACAGGCUAGCGAUGAACUCAACGGUAAACUCCUACAGGAGGAUGCUAGAACAGUUGGAAAAGGCAAAAACACCCGUGCAAAUUUCAAAUUCAAAUUUUGAUUAAUGACAGUAUCAAAAGUUGUACAGAUGUUGCGGCUCCAAUUGAAUGGCUGAGGGAACACGUGGGUCAAAAGUCAAUUAAUAGUUCUAGUCAAACCCCAAAGACCGUAACUGAUUUUUUCAAUCGUUUUUCAGAAAGAAAGGUCAAGAAGGUAAGCAACAAAGUCAAAAAGUAAUGGUUAUUCAGAAACCAAAACCGGUUCAAGAAUUUAUUAACUGAUACUACAAAAACAAAGGAAAGAAACAGGUAGAGAAUAUAGAAGUGACAGUGGUGGAAGACCAAGGGAGAAUGGAGGUUGAAGAUCAAGCAAAUCUCAACAAACUAGAUCAUCUGCAAUUGGCAAUAGAUCCUUUCAACCAAACUGAAGAAAUUAUGGAGGAAACUACGCAAAAUCUAAACUGGGAGAUAGUGAAAAUCAACUUCAUCCACAACAUAGUGGAUUAAAAUAUGGAAGCAACAACAAACAUAAAUGCAAAUUUUGCAGGUCAAGAAGAGAAAGUAAAGGAAGUUUAUGCAGAGAUUCUGUCCAAGCAUCUCAAAUUAAAUAAAGAACCAAUAAUCAAUAGGCUGUCACUAAUCACUGGAAUCAUUGCAGUACAUGACUCUAAUAACAUAAUUGAAAACUCUAUGGAAGAGAAUGAAUGAGAGGGAGAAGCUUUUGAAGAUGUAGUUAACUUGGAUUCAGAUGGUCUCAAUGAAUAUUAAAGUCCUACUGUGGAAUAAGAAAAGGUUAACAGCAUUUGACAAGAUGGAUGCACUAAAAGGUCUAAUUAUAAAAGUUAAACCCAUUGCUUGUCUAAUUUAGAAAACCCAUAUGAUGAAGAUGAAUGAUUGGUAUGUGAAACAAAUAUGGGGAAAUGAUCAACACAAAUGGAGAGACAUUCCUUCUCAGGGUUUGCCAUGUGGACUACUUACCAUUUGGGAUGACUCUUUUUUGGAAUGUGUUGAUGAAAUAGUUGGUCCAAAUACACUUUUUCAAAAGUUCAAAUGCAAAACUGAAAACUAUGAAGGGUGUAUUACUAAUGUUUGCUCUCUAUGUGAAUACGGGAAUAGAAUGGAUUUCUGGGAAGAAAUGGAAGAUCUGACAGGGUGGGAAAAUGAACAUUGGUGCAUGGCUGGAGAUUACAAUGCAAUUAGGAGAAGAAAAGAAAGGAACAAACCUGGAGGAUCAAAAAGAAACAGAAGGCUUUUCAAUGAGUUCAUGUAAGAGCAUGCUUUGGUGGAUUUACCAUUAAAUGGAGGUCUUUAUACUUGGAGCAAUAUGCAAUCUGAUCCUUUGCUUUGCAGACUUGACAGAGUGCUGGUGUCUCCUCAAUUUGAAGGUAAAUUUCCCCUUCUUACCCAAAAAAUACAAGCAAGAACCUUGUCAGAUCAUUCCCCAAU